UGGGGAAUAUUGGACAAUGGGCGCAAGCCUGAUCCAGCCAUGCCGCGUGAGUGACGAAGGCCUUAGGGUUGUAAAGCUCUUUCGGCGGGGAAGAUAAUGACGGUACCCGCAGAAGAAGCCCCGGCUAACUCUGUGCCAGCAGCCGCGGUAAUACAGAGGGGGCAAGCGUUGUUCGGAAUCACUGGGCGUAAAGCGCACGUAGGUGGAUAGUUAAGUUCGGGGUGAAAUCCCAGGGCUCAACCCUGGAACUGCCUCGGAUACUGGCUAUCUCGAGUCCGGAAGAGGUGAGUGGAAUUCCUAGUGUAGAGGUGAAAUUCGUAGAUAUUAGGAAGAACACCGGUGGCGAAGGCGGCUCACUGGUCCGGUACUGACACUGAGGUGCGAAAGCGUGGGGAGCAAACAGGAUUAGAUACCCAUGUAGUCCCUGAGCGGGCUGGCAAGGCGCAU
rnacentral:rRNA from 1 species